UACGAAGGGGGCUAGCGUUGUUCGGAAUUACUGGGCGUACAGCGCGCGCAGGCGGUCUUGCAAGUCCGUGGUGAAAGCCCGGAGCUCAACUCCGGAACUGCCAUUGAAACUGUUAGACUUGAGGAUGAGAGAGGUGAGUGGAAUUCCCAGUGUAGAGGUGAAAUUCGUAGAUAUUGGGAAGAACACCGGUGGCGAAGGCGGCUCACUGGCUCAUUACUGACGCUCAGGCGCGAUAGCGUGGGGAUCAAACAGG
rnacentral:rRNA from 1 species